CAAGGAUCUAUUCCAUAUUUUUCCAUUCCAACACUUCAUGCAAUUUUCGCUAAAUAUUCUUGAGAUUGUUUGAAAAUCUUAAUUGUUAAUUGUGCUAAGAAGCUAUGUGUAACAACCCGAUCCUAAAUUAAUAUUUAAUUAGUAAAGUAUUCAAACAAAAGACAAUGUUACCCCGGAAUAUUUUAAUAGGUUUACCUGUUGAUGUGUUGACCGGGGAGACUUUGGUGGAAUUGUUACAUCCCGGUCCGAAAGUGUGUUAAAAUAAUUAAUGUAAGAGAGAAUGAAUUUAAAUGAGGAAUAAAUUCAAAGAAACAUUAAAAUAAAAUGAUUUGAAUUAAUUCAGGUUUUUGAGAAAUUAAAAUAUUAUUUAAUAUUAAACAGGGGCAAAAAGGUCAUUUUAAGUUCGGGAAGGAAUUUGGAAAUUUCAAUUGGAUUGUUGUGGACUCGAAUCGGAGUUGUAACGAAGAAAUGGCUAUCAAAAGAAGUUCAGUUUUUUUUCAACUCAGAAUUUCUGCAUUUUGGGGAGCUCGAGCAGCCAACUUCAAGAGGUGAUUUCUCUCAACUCCGACUAGCAAUUCAAGCAAGACCUGUCUCGUUAGAACCACCACACUUCUCUCUUUCAGCACCAACCCUUUGCCGCCUCGAUCCGCGGCCGUAGUCUCCAGAAACAACCAAGAAACAUGCAGUUUUGGAUAGUUUUUUUCUCCCUCCUCUAACCACCGUUUCAU
rnacentral:lncRNA from 1 species